rnacentral:rRNA from 1 species
UACGUAGGGUGCGAGCGUUAAUCGGAAUUACUGGGCGUAAAGCGUGCGCAGGCGGUUCGUUGUGUCGGCGGUGAAAGCCCCGGGCUUAACCUGGGAAUGGCCGUUGAAACUGGCGAACUGGAGUGUGGCAGAGGGGGGUGGAAUUCCGCGUGUAGCGGUGGAAUGCGUAGAGAUCCGGAAGAACACCAGUGGCGAAGGCGGCCCGCUGGGCAGUGGCUGACGCUGAGGCGCGACAGCGUGGGGAGCAAACAGG